UACGGGGGGGGCAAGCGUUGUUCGGAAUUACUGGGCGUAAAGGGCUCGUAGGUGGCCAACUAAGUCAGACGUGAAAUCCCUCGGCUUAACCGGGGAACUGCCUCUGAUACUGGAUGGCUUGAGAUUGGGAGAGGGAUGCGGAAUUCCAGGUGUAGCGGUGAAAUGCGUAGAUAUCUGGAGGAACACCGGUGGCGAAGGCGGCAUCCUGGACCAACACUGACGCUGAGGAGCGAAAGCCAGGGGAGCAAACGGG
rnacentral:rRNA from 1 species